rnacentral:rRNA from 1 species
UACGGAGGGGGCUAGCGUUGUUCGGAAUUACUGGGCGUAAAGCGCACGUAGGCGGCUUUGUAAGUUAGAGGUGAAAGCCCAGGGCUUAACCCUGGAAUUGCCUUUAAGACUGCAUCGCUAGAAUUGUGGAGAGGUAAGUGGAAUUCCGAGUGUAGAGGUGAAAUUCGUAGAUAUUCGGAAGAACACCAGUAGCGAAGGCGACUUACUGGACACAUAUUGACGCUGAGGUGCGAAAGCGUGGGGAGCAAACAGG